rnacentral:rRNA from 1 species
UACGGGGGGGGCAAGCGUUGUUCGGAAUUACUGGGCGUAAAGGGCUCGUAGGCGGCCAACUAAGUCGGAUGUGAAAUCCCCAGGCUUAACCUGGGAACUGCAUCCGAUACUGGAUGGCUUGAAUCCGAGAGAGGGAUGCAGAAUUCCAGGUGUAGCGGUGAAAUGCGUAGAUAUCUGGAGGAAUACCGGUGGCGAAGGCGGCAUCCUGGACCGGCAUUGACGCUGAUGAGCGAAAGCUAGGGGAGCAAACGGG